CAAAAUGAGAGUUUGAUCCUGGCUCAGGACGAACGCUGGCGGCGUGCCUAAUACAUGCAAGUCGAGCGAGCUUGCCUAUAGAAAUUCUUCGGAAUGGACAUAGAUACAAGCUAGCGGCGGAUGGGUGAGUAACGCGUGGGUAACCUGCCCUUAAGUCUGGGAUACCAUUUGGAAACAGAUGCUAAUACCGGAUAAAAGCUACUUUCGCAUGAAAGAAGUUUAAAAG
rnacentral:rRNA from 1 species